AUAUUUAUUCUUUCCAUUUUUUAAAUUUUAUUGAAGUAUAGUUGAUUUACACUGUUGUAAUUUGUGCUGUACAACAAAGUGAUUCAGUUAUACAUAGACAUACGCCUAUUCUUUUCAGAUUCUUUUCCCACAUAGGUUAUCAUAGAAUAUUGGGUAGAGUUCCCUGUGCUACACAGCAGGUCCCCUGUUGAUCAUCUGUCCCAUAUACAAUAGUGUGCAUAUGCCAAUAUUUUAUAAUAACUAUAAAUGCAGUAUAACCUUUACUGUUGUGAAUCAUUAUAUCGUAUACUUGUAACUUUUAUAAUAUUGUAUAGCAACCAUACAUGAAUAAAAAGGAAUAUACUCAAAAUAUUUUUUAAAAGCUUAAUAAAAAAAUAGGUUGUCCCCGAAGAGUUUCCAUAUCAUGCAGAUGGUAGGUAAACAGUGAAAAGUUUAACCUGGGGAUUGAUGUGAUUAGAACCCCAUUUUUUGAAAGAUAGUCAGACUCUAAGAGUGGCCAAGGGCGAGGCCAGUUGCAAGGGUACUAGUUAGGAGUCUGCUGCAAUAAUCCUGGUAGAAACAAUGACGGCACGCAAGUAGAGGUCAGCUCUGUACCGGGAGAGGGGAACAGAGCCUGGGGAGAAGUUUGUGCAUGGGGAGAGCUUCAGCUCUGUACCGGGAGAGGGGAACAGAGCCCGGGGAGAAGUUGGCGCAGUGGGGAGAGCUUCAGCUCUGUACCGGGAGAGGGGAACAGAGCCCGGGGAGAAGUUGGCGCAGUGGGGAGAGCGUGGUCAGAGGGUCGCUGGGCAGGGCCCUACCGAGCCAUCUCUUCCUGGCUCAAGGGCGCUGCAGUUCAGGGCCCUGGGGACCCCAGGAUGAGGACCAGGACGUGGAGGUAAAGGGAGAGGGGGAUGCAUGUGGCUUCUGACACGCUGAGCUGAGGCGGGACACAUGAGCAGAGGCACCAGGAGGCAGAAUGGCUGCUCCGAGGGCUCCGGGCUGAAGAUGGGAUCAUGGGAGCCAUCAGGUGGACGAGGAUGCGAGAAGCCGUGGGGACAUUUGUUUAAACCCGAAGAAGCAUGAGUUCAGAGCAGAAUCCUGGGCUUGCUGACACUACACCAAGGACCAGAGGGAAGGAAUCUCCAUGAAAUUAAGAGGAUCAGGGAGGUGGGAGGAAAAUCCCAGAGAAGGCAGCAUCACAGACAUCUCCAAGGAAAUGAACGUUCAAAAUGAGAAGCUGUAGACUGUUCAGUGAAAAGUGCUGUGGGGGCCUGGCAAUAAAGAGGUCCAAGCUGAUUUGGGCAAGAACAGUUUUAUUGGGUCGGUGUGGGCCAGGACUAGGCGGGGUCCCUCUGAGGAUCGCACAGGUGGGAUGAAAUGGAAGCAGAAGUAGUGGGUGUGGACAAAUGAUCCCCAGUCUUGACAGGGGCGGGGGGGGGGGGGGGGGAGGAGGGAGAAUAGUGCUUGUAAGAAAUGUAAUAAUAACUAAAAAUGAUAGAGUUAUUAACCGCGCCAUGCACUCUUCUAAGUAUUCUGUGUGUGUUGUGUGUGUGUAUGUGUGCGCUUGCACGCUCAUUUGAUUGUUGCAACAACCUUAUGAAGCAGGUAUUAUUCUCAGCUGUAUUUGACACAUGAGGCUACUGAGAUACAGAAAUUAAAAGGCUCCCUGCUGUCAAGAACCUUCUAAGUGCUGGAGCUGGAAUUUGAACCAGAGGAGUGAACUCCAGAGUCUGGGUCUUCAUCGCUCUUGUUUAUUGCCUCUGAUAGUUCCCUCUCUAGCAACCUAGAAUUGGGUCUCUGUUUAGGAAAACAUGAUAUUCUCAGGUGAAAAAAAAAAUCAGAAGCAAGAUGACAUUGUAAGGAUCAACCUCAUAUAGAGAAUAAAUAAUGUAGUUUUUUUUUUAUCCCAAUAGAACCACAUUAAAGAGUUUGCCUAAGUGUAAUUAGGACAAAGGUGAACAAGGGUUGGUAUAGGCAUGUUUCUUAUGCUAUAAAGGUUGAUAGGUAGGGUGGACUCCGUUUAGAAAGAUGUUUUAAAAGACAGCUGAGGGAGUUUUGAGGUAAUGUAACCAAAAAUUGGGAGCCAUUAUGGUUCCUAAAAAAGGACCAAAGCUCUUAUUUUUAUAAAUUCUAAUCCUAUAGAAGUAGUCAAAUUAGGUAAAGGGAGAAAGAGACAGAUGAUAAUUGUGUGAAGCUUGGCGACAGUUUCAGUGGUCCAGGUAUGAAGCGAUCAGGUCUGGUUGAAGCUUGUAUGUUCAGAGAGGUAAUACUCUCCAAGUUUAUGAAGAAAGGACUGAGGGAUUUGGUGAGCGUGCCCUCUGCUAGGCACUGAACAUGGAUCCGGCGUGGGUUUAUUUAGUUCAGGUGUGCUGGGUUUCAGGCAGUACUGGGGUAUCAAAAUCAAAAUAGCUCAUAGCACCUAAGAGCCAGGUAGGAAUUUCAGAGACUGAGGUACUAGUGUGAGGGCAGCAGCGCAGAGAUGAGGAGUGGGCCUUGUAUGGAUUCAAGGGGAGCCUUGAAAAAGAAUGUCAUUUUUUUUUUUCUUGUGUCUCUGUGUGAAUUUCCAUGUGGUACUGAAGGCAGGUAUGCUGAAUAUUCAUUUCGGAGUAUAUUAUCUGGUCCAGAUAGGGCGUAAAGUGAUGUCUUGAUCACCUGUCAUCAAAUAUCUCAUGGCACUUUUUUAGCGUUAACACUCAGACCUCAGGGUCAUGGCCACGGUCUACUGUAGGUCAUUGUUUCUUACCUCUGGGAAAUUUUGACAGGUUUCUUAGAGCUCUGGAAUUAUUUCUGUUCUAAACUGUCUCCUAUUAUUAGACACUGUUAAGUAUCUGAAUGCUUUUUCAUCUUUGCAAUGAUAAGUGAACACAGGAACAGAAACUCACCGUAUUGCUGGAAAUGAGCCAAGGCGAGUUUCUAUGCCUGGUUCUAAGAACUUGAUCUUCCUCAGAUUUUAAUGCUCCACACCCUACCACCUAUGACUUAGGGGAGAAAGGGGCCAUGGCUGGCAUUUGGUGGUCGCUCCUGGGGGUUUUGUGCCGACUUUGGGCUUUUUUCCAGGUCUCAGCGGCCAUGAUACUGGCCUAGCGUAUAUGAGGGAAAAGGAGAUUGUUUCAGAUCUUUUUCAAACCGUACUGGCCUGGGCGUAUGGCCUUGGUGGUCGGGCUGGAGUUAUGCAUGGUGGUCAGCUGGAGGAGCACCCUCGAGUCACGUGGAUGGGCAUCCACGAGCACGAUGCGUACUGCUCUCUGCGGAGGCCUGCCUCUGUCAUGCACGUGUUUGUGUUUCUGCGCAUCUUGCUUCACCUGUGUCCACAAGCUAUUCAUGCCCGUCCCGGCCGGGAGGGAACACCAGCAAAGCCUCAGCACAUUUGUCGUGGUUACUUUAGCAGUGCGGUGCUGUGUGUUAGUGUGACAUGGGUGCACUCUCAGAGCUCUGCAGUUCUCAUCAGGAUACCCGUGGAAGGAUUUGGAAGCAUCUGACUAGUUUCCAGAUGUCUCCUUUCCUUCCCUGUACCUUCCAACGCCGAUGGAGUGACUAGUUCUUCAAGGUCCCUCGUCACGCAGCCGCAGAGCUCUGGGCCCGCACCUCUCUGCCUGUGUCAGAAGAGCAGGGCAGGGAGUAUUUUACAUUAGUACUUUCUGGGCUCCGUCCGAGGGUGUAUUGUUGACAGGAGGUAGGCGUCGAGCUGGAUGAUAAUGACGUCCCCAUUGUGGGUAGAGCUGCAAACAGAAUCUGUCAUCUUCCCUGUGCUUAGGAGGGAGAGUUGAAUGAUUUCGAUUAAUGGCCAAGUUUAGUCCUAAGUUGCAUUGAAAUGUGGCUAUAGAUGUUAACGUUUUGAACUCGUCGAAAAAAUAAUAUUGUUUCAUUGCUAUCUUCCAUAGGAAGGAUUUUGAUCAGUUCACAUGAUUAUAUAACCCUUCUUUCUUGAUUUCCAUGUCUUUAAAAGUGCCAUUCUCAUUGAGAAAUGUGGAAAUGUGGCAAGUCCUUUCAGAUACACUACUAAUUUCUUUUAGACUUCAAAAGGCUGAAAUCAAUGUAGAAUAUUUCAAAUAAAGAAACCUGUAAUCAGAGGGAUUCCUACACAUCUAAAUUUCUCUCUUGAGGAAAAGUCCUUGUAAGUUGAGCUUACAAGAAGCCAAACACCAAUAGAAAGCAUGACCUAUUAAGGAAGGAAUUUGUGCACUACCUUAUGGGGAAAAUCCAUAUAAAUAUACGUAAUGUAUUUAAGUAUAUAUACAUAUUUAUAUAUUUCAUACAUAAAUAAUAUAUAAUUUAUUAUAUUUAUAUAUGUUUUAUAAAAGGUAUGUAAUCUUUCUUGUUCGUUGUGUUCCAUUGAUGCUAUUUAAUCAAAGGGAGACUCAUGCAUUUCUCUUACUGUCAUAGUGCACAAAUUUUCCAUUAUAUGUAGAUCACUUCAGUAAGUACAGGGAAUUUCAGGUAUAGGGUCUGUGCCCCCAAAGGGCUCUUGAUCUACUUGAAAAGGAUCAAAUAGCGCCUACAAGGAAAUUAGCAAUUCU
rnacentral:lncRNA from 1 species